CGAUUAUGUAUUUUUCAUUUGGCAAAAUAUCUAAAAAUUCCAAAACAAAAAACAGUGUCCAUGUUUGGGACGAAUUUAGUACUGUGUAGAAAAAAUGGACUAUAUAACUGUUGAGUGCAUGUCUCUUUAUAUUCUGUGACUGAAAAUGCGUUGUAAGUAAUUUACAAUUGAUAUCAUCCAGAAAACAUCAGUACCACCCCCAAUUAACCCUCCACCCUCUUCAGAUGUCUUAGUACAC